AGCGAACGCUGGCGGCAGGCCUAACACAUGCAAGUCGAACGGAUCCUUCGGGAUUAGUGGCGGACGGGUGAGUAACACGUGGGAACGUGCCCUUUGGUUCGGAACAACUCAGGGAAACUUGAGCUAAUACCGGAUGUGCCCUUCGGGGGAAAGAUUUAUCGCCAUUGGAGCGGCCCGCGUCUGAUUAGCUAGUUGGUGAGGUAACGGCCCACCAAGGCGACGAUCAGUAGCUGGUCUGAGAGGAUGAUCAGCCACACUGAGACUGAGACACGGCCCAGACUCCUACGGGAGGCAGCAGUGGGGAAUCUUGCGCAAUGGGCGAAAGCCUGACGCAGCCAUGCCGCGUGAAUGAUGAAGGUCUUAGGAUUGUAAAAUUCUUUCAGCGGGGACGAUAAUGACGGUACCCGCAGAAGAAGCUCCGGCUAACUUCGUG
rnacentral:rRNA from 1 species